rnacentral:rRNA from 1 species
CUUAGGGCGUAAAGCACUUUCGCCAGGGAUGAUAAUGACAGUACCAGGUAAAGAAACCCCGGCUAACUCCGUGCCAGCAGCCGCGGUAAUACGGAGGGGGUUAGCGUUGUUCGGAAUUACUGGGCGUAAASCGUACGUAGGCGGAUCAGWAAGUUGGGGGUGAAAUCCCGGGGCUCAACCCYGGAACUGCCUCCAAAACUCCURGUCUUGAGUUCGAGAGAGGUGAGUGGAAUUCCAAGUGUAGAGGUGAAAUUCGUAGAUAUUUGGAGGAACACCAGUGGCGAAGGCGGCUCACUGGCUCGAUACUGACGCUGMGGWMCGAAAGUGUGGGGAGCAAACAGGAUUAGAUACCCUGGUAGUCCACACCGUAAACGAUGAAUGCCAGUCGUCGGGCAGUAUACUGUUCGGUGACACACCUAACGGAUUAAGCAUUCCGGCUGGGGAGUACG